GGGGUAUGUUCUGUGAUUUUUCAUUUAGUAAUCAGCAUAAUCUAAUUUGUAAAAAGUUACUUUUUCUGAAUUGUAGUUGUCCUUAGCUAUGUAAUUAUUAUUUCUUUCUUCCCAACAAAAUGAAUCAGGAUUCAGGAAUUGAAUUCCUAAGCCCCCUUUCCCAGUUUUAUAUUUUUUCAAUAUUUAGCAUAUAUUAAAAAUUUUCCUUUCUCUAUCCCAGUUAAACUUCUUGAUUGGGGGGAG
rnacentral:misc_RNA from 1 species